AUUGAACGCUGGCGGCAGGCCUAACACAUGCAAGUCGAACGAGUGGCGGACGGGUGAGUAAUGUCUGGGAAACUGCCUGAUGGAGGGGGCUAACUACUGGAAACGGUAGCUAAUACCGCAUACCAUCGGAUGUGCCCAGCUGGGCUUAGCUAGUAGGUGGUGUAAAGGCUCACCUAGUCGACGAUCCCUAGCUGGUCUGAGUGGAUGACCAGCAACACUGGAACUGAGACACGGUCAAGACUCCUACGGGAGGCAGCAGUGGGGAAUAUUGCACAAUGGGUGCAAGCCUGAUGCAGCCAUGCCGCGUGUAGGAAGAAGGCCUUCGGGUUGUAAAGUACUUUCAGCGAGGAGGCGUUACUCGCAGAAGAAGCACCGGCUAACUCCGUGCCAGCAGCCGCGGUAAUAC
rnacentral:rRNA from 1 species